rnacentral:misc_RNA from 1 species
CUGCCCUCAAGCCCGGCUUGUGUGUUGGGCCCCGUCCCCCGAUCCCGGGGGACGGGCCCGAAAGGCAGCGGCGGCACCGCGUCCGGUCCUCGAGCGUAUGGGGCUUUGUCACCCGCUCCGUAGGCCCGGCCGGCGCCUGCCGAUCAACCCCAAAUUUUUAAUCCA